GUCAGCGGCGGACGGGUGAGUAACACGUGGGUAACCUGCCUGUAAGACUGGGAUAACUCCGGGAAACCGGGGCUAAUACCGGAUGCUUGAUUGAACCGCAUGGUUCAAUCAUAAAAGGUGGCUUUUAGCUACCACUUACAGAUGGACCCGCGGCGCAUUAGCUAGUUGGUGAGGNAACGGCUCACCNAGGCGACGAUGCGUAGCCGACCUGAGAGGGUGAUCGGCCACACUGGGACUGAGACACGGCCCAGACUCCUACGGGAGGCAGCAGUAGGGAAUCUUCCGCAAUGGACGAAAGUCUGACGGAGCAACGCCGCGUGAGUGAUGAAGGUUUUCGGAUCGUAAAACUCUGUUGUUAGGGAAGAACAAGUACCGUUCGAAUAGGGCGGUACCUUGACGGUACCUAACCAGAAAGCCACGGCUAACUACGUGCCAGCAGCCGCGGUAAUACGUAGGUGGCAAGCGUUGUCCGGAAUUAUUGGGCGUAAAGCGCGCGCAGGCGGUUUCUUAAGUCUGAUGUGAAAGCCCCCGGCUCAACCGGGGAGGGUCAUUGGAAACUGGGGAACUUGAGUGCAGAAGAGGAGAGUGGAAUUCCACGUGUAGCGGUGAAAUGCGUAGAGAUGUGGAGGAACACCAGUGGCGAAGGCGACUCUCUGGUCUGUAACUGACGCUGAGGCGCGAAAGCGUGGGGAGCGAACAGGAUUAGAUACCCUGG
rnacentral:rRNA from 1 species